ACUCUAAGGAGACUGCCGGUGACAAACCGGAGGAAGGUGGGGAUGACGUCAAGUCAUCAUGGCCCUUACGGCCUGGGCUACACACGUGCUACAAUGGUCGGUACAAAGGGUUGCCAAGCCGCGAGGUGGAGCUAAUCCCAAUAAAACCGAUCGUAGUCCGGAUCGCAGUCUGCAACUCGACUGCGUGAAGUCGGAAUCGCUAGUAAUCGUCGAAUCAGAAUGUCACGGUGAAUACGUUCCCGGGCCUU
rnacentral:rRNA from 1 species